GAUGAACGCUGGCGGCGUGCCUCAAACAUGCAAGUCGAGCGGGGCUAUGUAAUAUCGCAAGGUAGAACAUAGCCUAGCGGCGAACGGGUGAGUAACACGUGGGUAACCUGCCUGGAAGACAGGGAUAACGAUUCGAAAGGGUCGCUAAUACCUGAUAAUAUCCUUUCAUCGCAUGGUGAUAGGAAGAAAGGGGAAACCCGCUUUCAGAUGGGCCCGCGUCCCAUCAGCUAGUUGGUAAGGUAAAGGCUUACCAAGGCGACGACGGGUAGCCGGUCUGAGAGGAUGUACGGCCACACUGGGACUGAGAUACGGCCCAGACUCCUACGGGAGGCAGCAGUUGGGAAUCUUAGGCAAUGGACGAAAGUCUGACCUAGCGACGCCGCGUGAGGGAAGAAGGCCUCGGUUGUAACCUACUGUCAUGGGGAAGGAAGUAAGGUAGACGGUACCCCGAACGAGGAAGACCCCGUCGCUAACUACGUAGCCAGCAGCCGCGGUAAACGGUAACUACUAU
rnacentral:rRNA from 1 species